rnacentral:tRNA from 1 species
AGGAUAAUAGUUAAAUAUAACAUUUGAAUUGCACUCAAAAAGUGUUGAAAAUAUCAACUUAUCUUA